AUGAUGAGCUGGCACGAUCCAUGCGGGACGCUGAUGGGGAGCUCGCCGCGGUUCGAUAUGUUCGGGUGCGACUUCGGGUGGGGGAAGCCGGUGGCGGCGCGGAGCGGCAAGGCGAACAAGGUCGACGGAGGCACGUCGUUGUACCCAUGUCGGGAUGGGGGAGGCGGCAUGGACGCGGAGCUCACGCUCACGUCGGAGCACAUGGCGGCGCUCGAGGAGGACGAGGAGUUCUGGAUCGCCGUCUCGCCGGACGCGCCGGUGCUGGAGAGGAAAGCUUGA
rnacentral:rRNA from 1 species